AUAUGUUUGGCUCCCUAUAUGCCAUCUUCAGAGCUCAUUGAAACUUUAAUGGUUUAUGUGUAUGGCGUAUAUGGAACUAAGCAUAU
rfam:Lupinus angustifolius cultivar Tanjil chromosome LG11, whole genome shotgun sequence.